rnacentral:rRNA from 1 species
UGAACACUGGUCCUUGAUGUGUAGGAUAGGUGGGAGGCUUUGAAGCGUGGACGCCAGUCUGCGUGGAGCCGACCUUGAAAUACCACCCUUUAAUGGCUGGUGUUCUAACGUAGACCCGUAAUCCGGGUUGCGGACAGUGUCUGGUGGGUAGUUUGACUGGGGCGGUCUCCUCCCAAAGAGUAACGGAGGAGCACGAAGGUUAGCUAAUCCUGGUCGGACAUCAGGAGGUUAGUGCAAUGGCAUAAGCUAGCUUGACUGCGAGAGUGACGGCUCGAGCAGGUGCGAAAGCAGGUCAUAGUGAUCCGGUGGUUCUGAAUGGAAGGGCCAUCGCUCAACGGAUAAAAGGUACUCCGGGGAUAACAGGCUGAUACCGCCCAAGAGUUCAUAUCGACGGCGGUGUUUGGCACCUCGAUGUCGGCUCAUCACAUCCUGGGGCUGAAGUAGGUCCCAAGGGUAUGGCUGUUCGCCAUUUAAAGUGGUACGCGAGCUGGGUUUAGAACGUCGUGAGACAGUUCGGUCCCUAUCUGCCGUGGGCGCUGGAGAAUUGAGGGGGGCUGCUCCUAGUACGAGAGGACCGGAGUGGACGCAUCACUGGUGUUCGGGUUGUCAUGCCAAUGGCACUGCCCGGUAGCUAAAUGCGGAAGAGAUAAGUGCUGAAAGCAUCUAAGCACGAAACUUGCCCCG